UGCAAUUUCUAUAGCAGAAACCUCGGCGGAAACCUAAAAUGGUUAAUAGUAGCAUUCAUUAACGUUUGCUAAGCAUCAUAGACAACAUUCACCUCCAAGAUCAACCAGUACUCUCGCUAGUCAGCCGGCUGAGUAUAAGAAAUGCUUCGGACAGAAAAUGCAAUAGUUUAUCCGCAAUUUCCCAUUAAAAACGCAAAAAAAUGAUUGAAUAAAAUCAGAUGUUCAAUUAAA